ACUGGGCGUGGCUUGAAGAUGGCAGGUGGUUUCACCUUUCAGUAGUCUCUGAGUUUAUGCGGGUUUUAUUCAACAGGUUUCCAAAGUCAGUUUUUAUUAUCUCACCCUUCUUCCGCACCUUUUGCUACAGAACCUUUACUUCCUGCCGCUACUAAGAUCCAAGCCCCCGUUCACCACAGCUAACGUUUUUCUUCACCGCAGAGUUGGUUCCCUCCUAGGGAUCGCUGUUGGAACAUCUGGACUCAGCUUCCAGAGACACACGGGCUUCAAUAUGUUACCUUCCACGUGUGGACAUGCGAUCUUGCUUGGAUGGAGUUUGUUUCUGGAGCUGUGGUGAACUGUAAGGAGAAGAAAUAGAACUUGAGAAUGAAAUGGGGGCACUACUGAUUACACAGGGCCAGCAGGCAUAAACCAGAACUGUCUUGGGGAAACUGGGACAAAGCCCACCGGGACCCUGAGACCCACUGAUGAUGUGCGUCGCUUGCUGGUAACUUCCUGACCUCGGUGCCUACAGGUGUCCCCACCGCUCUGAUGUCCUUGGUCUUCGUCAGACCCGUCAAGCACUCCCUCACCCGUAGCAUGUGCUGUCCCCUCCACCCAAACUCAGCUCUCCCGGACAGCCAUUGGGUUCCAUCCACCCUUCACUGGGGCCGCUGCUUAAAGUCACGUCCUCGGACACCCAACCCAGAAGAGCUCUGCCCUACACUCUUGGUCACUCUCUUACCCUGCAUCCUGUUCUUCAUGGCACUUACCACUGCCUGAUGUGGCCCGACACACUGGCUCAGAUUCUCUUUAUGAACCGUUGGGGCCUGUGACACUCAUGACCGCACCUGCCUCCCAGCAGGACGCGAUCAACAUCCACCAAACGCACGACUGAGCGAGCUUUUGCCACCGCCGCGUCCUCACAUCCGAUGGACCUGGUCUUUCCCACCAUGUUUUCUUCUUCAAUGUUUAGUUGCUUCUUUUGCCUGCUUCUUUUUCUGGGGAAAAAAAAAAAGUUAGGAUCCCCCUUCCCAAAUUCUAACAUAAACAAACAGAAACCACCUCUAUUUGGAUUAUUUUUUGAAACUGUCCACAGCUAACACCUAAUUAGGAGGCACACGCCAUGGUCACCAUGCUCUGCCUUACCACCCAGCGUGGAAGAAUCUCCAACCUUCCUUCCCUUGUGCCAGGUUCUCUUAAAGCUCUCAGUGUGGCGUUCAGUUGUCUUCAAGAUGAUCUCGAGCGCACUUCAGCGCAUCAGGCAGGUGGCGACCAUCAUGAUGGCUGACACAGUUAUGACGGCAAGGUUCACAGCGACAACCAUAGCAAUAACGUGGCCACGCGGAGCACAACGCGGUCUCCAACACCGACAACAUCUGGAGCCUAGGAGGCCCACGAUAAGUAUUUGCUGGAUCCAUGAAUAAAUUAGCACCCGUUGUCACAAUCCUCAUUUUUCCUGGUUUUACUGAGUGACCCAAGUGAAUCGCUGACUUACACCGAUGACCAUUGUUUUAGAGUAACUAUCCUUAACCUGUGAGGCAAGAACCCUUCCUGUUCCAGUUUUCAAAGAGUUAUGGCUGAAAAGGGGGCUGAAAGGUAUCAGAUGUAUUUGCAACACCUUUGAGACGCUUCUAUAACUUUUUAUUCAAACACAUCAAUAUAACGGAUCGCUUAAAUGUUACAACACCUUUCCAUCCCUGGGUAUAAAAUUCUGUAUUUGUGUGUUCGUGUACGUGCAUGUUCAGGUUUAGUCCAGAGGGGCGUGGUAGGGUUUUGAUUAGGAUUUUUACAUUCUAACAAUUUUUGAAAAAGGUUUAUUUAUUUUUGAGAAAGACAGAGAGA